AACGAACGCUGGCGGCAGGCUUAACACAUGCAAGUCGAACGCCCCGCAAGGGGAGUGGCAGACGGGUGAGUAACGCGUGGGAACGUGCCCUUCGCUUCGGAAUAGCCCCGGGAAACUGGGAGUAAUACCGAAUACGCCGUAUUGGGAAAGAUUUAUCGGCGAAGGAUCGGCCCGCGUUAGAUUAGCUAGUUGGCGGUGUAAUGGACCACCAAGGCUACGAUCUAUAGCUGGUCUGAGAGGAUGAUCAGCCACACUGGGACUGAGACACGGCCCAGACUCCUACGGGAGGCAGCAGUGGGGAAUCUUGGACAAUGGGCGCAAGCCUGAUCCAGCCAUGCCGCGUGAGUGAAGAAGGCCUUAGGGUUGUAAAACUCUUUCGCCGGAGAAGAUAAUGACGGUAUCCGGAGAAGAAGCCCCGGCUAACUUCGUGCCAGCAGCCGCAGUAAUAC
rnacentral:rRNA from 1 species